rnacentral:rRNA from 1 species
UACGAAGGGGGCUAGCGUUGCUCGGAAUCACUGGGCGUAAAGCGCACGUAGGCGGGUCUUUAAGUCAGGGGUGAAAUCCUGGAGCUCAACUCCAGAGCUGCCUUUGAUACUGAGGAUCUCGAGUCCGGGAGAGGUGAGUGGAACUCCGAGUGUAGAGGUGAAAUUCGUAGAUAUUCGGAAGAACACCAGUGGCGAAGGCGGCUCACUGGCCCGGUACUGACGCUGAUGUGCGAAAGCGUGGGGAGCAAACAGG